rnacentral:rRNA from 2 species
AUAUCAAUAAGCGGAGGAAAAGAAACCAACCGGGAUUGCCUCAGUAGCGGCGAGUGAAGCGGCAAAAGCUCAAAUUUGAAAUCUGGUACCUUUGGUGCCCGAGUUGUAAUUUGAAGAAGGUAUCUUUGGGUACGGCACUUGUCUAUGUUUCUUGGAACAGAACGUCACAGAGGGUGAGAAUCCCGUGCGAUGAGUUGUCCGUGUCCGUGUAAAGUUCCUUCGAAGAGUCGAGUUGUUUGGGAAUGCAGCUCUAAGUGGGUGGUAAAUUCCAUCUAAAGCUAAAUAUUGGCGAGAGACCGAUAGCGAACAAGUACAGUGAUGGAAAGAUGAAAAGAACUUUGAAAAGAGAGUGAAAAAGUACGUGAAAUUGUUGAAAGGGAAGGGUUUGAGAUCAGACUUGGUAUUUUGCAUGGCUCUCGGGUCCUCUGCAGUUUACUGGGCCAGCAUCGGUUUGUCUGGCGGGAUAAUUGCGCAGGAAUGUGGCACGGUUCGCCGUGUGUUAUAGCCUGUGUGGAUGCCGGCGGGUAGACCGAGGACUGCGAUUUUUUUAAUCUAGGAUGCUGGCAUAAUGAUCCCAAACCGC